CUGGGAACCACUGCAGUUCCAUUUAAUGUGCAAGUGCAGGCAUUUGCUGCUGUUGAGAGGGAGGGUGUAAUUGCUCAGGCUGUGCAGGAAUCUGUUUCAGAUACUGAGAAUAUAGCAUACCAACUUCAAUCCCAACUGUGGCAGGGUCGACCGUUUGCUUCUGAGUUUACUGUUCCAAACAAUACAUUGAAUGGACAAGAGGAGCCAAUGAUUGAAACUGGAUCAGUUAGCCUCUCAAAUACAUAUUCUCAAGGGAUAUUGGAUACUUUGACCCAAGCUCUACGGUCUUCAGGUGUGGAUUUGACUCAGACAAACAUCUCAGUGCAAAUUGAUGUUGGCAAACAAGGAAAUAGGGGAGCAGCUAUUGAUGGCAUCAAGUUCAAAGGAUCAAGAAAAUGCGUAUUUUAACAAUCAAGUGAUGGAACAAAGUGAAGUUGAGAAUCUAAUGGAAGACUCUGAUCAGGCUCAUAAGAGACUGAGAACAGAAAAAAGCUAGUGUUUCAUUGUCGUUUAAAUUCAUCCAUCUGAUUUCUUCUUUCGGUUCCCAUUUUGGAAAUGGUGUGCUUUUCCAUUACGCCGAGGUCCUUGUACAUAUCUACUUGUCUAUGCUGUAUGCUUUGCCUGGUUGCUUGGGUGGAAUCUCCUUCAUUGGGCAGGGGAAAAUAAUAAAAGAGUUAUUUAUUCUUUUAUUGGUGGCUGUCGUUUCAUCCAGAGGCUUCCAUGCACAUAAAGAGAACUUGCUUUUGAUUAUGCUUUUCGAGGUAUGGCAGCACGGCCUGAAGGCUUCUAUUGGCUAUCGAAUCUCUCUUCGGGCAGCUAUUGUGGGCAAGUUUUGGUCCUUGGGUUUGUGUUGGGCAUUCCUACAAUUUUUU
rnacentral:misc_RNA from 1 species